UUCCGGUUGAUCCUGCCGGAGGCUACCGCUAUUGGAGUUCGAUUAAGCCAUGCGAGUCGCGAGUCUUAGGGACUCGGCGUACCGCUCAGUAACACGUGGGUAACCUGCCCUAUGCUGGGGGAUAACCUCGGGAAACUGAGAAUAAUACCCCAUAGUUCACCACGCCUGGAACGGUGGGUGGACCAAAGCUCCGGCGGCAUAGGAUGGGCCUGCGGCGUAUCAGGUUGUAGGGGGUGUAAUGUACCCUCUAGCCCUCUACGCGUACGGGUGUUGAGAGACAUCGCCCGGAGAUGGAUUCUGAGACACGAAUCCAGACCCUACGGGGUGCAGCAGGCGCGAAAACUUGGCAAUGCGAGAAAUCGUGACCAGGGAACUCCAAGUGCAUCGGGUAAGACCGAUGCUUUUCUUGACUCUUCAAAGGUCUUGGAAUAAGGGGUGGGUAAGGACGGUGCCAGCCGCCGCGGUAAUACCGGCGCCCCAAGUGGUAGUCGCUUUUAUUGGGCCUAAAACGUCCGUAGCCGGUUUGGUACAUUCGUGGGUAAAUCAAGGCGCUCAACGUCUUGAAUUCUGCGAGCACGGCCAGACUUGGGACCGGGUGAGGUGUGGGGUACUCUCAGGGUAGGGGUAAAAUCCUGUCAUCCUGAGAGGACCACCUGUUGCGAAGGCGCCACACUAGAACGGAUCCGACGGUCAGGGACGAAGCCUAGGGGCACGAACCGGAUUAGAUACCCGGGUAGUCCUAGGUGUAAACGCUGUGGACUUGAUGUUGGGAGUGCUCCGAGCACCCUCAGUGUCGAAGCGAAGGUGAUAAGUCCACUGCCUGGGAAGUACGGUCGCAAGGCUGAAACUUAAAGGAAUUGGCGGGGGAGCACCGCAACCUGAGGAUUGUGCGGUUUAAUUGGAUUCAACGCCGGA
rnacentral:rRNA from 1 species